rnacentral:rRNA from 1 species
UACGUAGGGUGCGAGCGUUAAUCGGAAUUACUGGGCGUAAAGCGUGCGCAGGCGGUUUUGUAAGCCAGGUGUGAAAUCCCCGGGCUCAACCUGGGAAUGGCAUUUGGGACUGCAAGGCUGGAGUGCGGCAGAGGAGACUGGAAUUCCUGGUGUAGCAGUGAAAUGCGUAGAUAUCAGGAGGAAUACCGAUGGCGAAGGCAGGUCUCUGGGCUGACACUGACGCUCAUGCACGAAAGCGUGGGGAUCAAACAGG